GCCCAGCCUCGCUCAGGGGCCGAGCCGUGCCUGCCUGGCCCAUGAGGAUCUGCACCAGCAGAACCUAGGACCCUGUCCAGCAUCACCUGUAGAGCAAGUAGCUCUGGAAAUCAUCUGCCUUCUUGAGCAGGAGGGGCGCGCCGCUCCGGCCCGCGCUGCGCGCCCGCGGGGCCCGUGCAAACGCGCGCUCCCGGAAUAUGGCAGUAUGCGUCCGAGAGAGACGACUUGGGCCGCCGCUGGCGCAGCCGUGUCCCGAGGGGGCGGCCAGAGGCCAGCGCCUUCAACAGUCCGAGGCGGUUUCCUUGAGAGGACGGAUCUCUACCGCGCAUCCAAAGACCAGGGGCCAGUUACCCGUAUAGACAGCGAGGACCUCCCCACCCCACUCGCUGACUCUCAAGCCCCAGAGUCUGUAUUUUUUAUUUAUUUAAACUAAGAGUUGAGAAACUGCACUAGAACUUGGUAGGCACUUGUGAUGUGAUGCAGUAGCUGUUCCUAACAUUAAUAAAAACCAUCACUUGGAAAAAUUUUCCCAUCCCAUGACUGCAUCUGAUGGCCCGGUCCCUUCUGUUUUUAUGAAGAGGAUCAUGAAGCCUGGAGACCCUACUUAUGGAACCAGAAAAGGCCCUUGCCCCCAACAGUUGUAGGCUGGAUUCUUUAUAACAUGCAAAAUUGUCAGAUAUAUAGUUACGAAGCCAAAGACAUUAAUUAUACUUAGACUCUGGUAAAGAACUCAGACAGGUGUCAGACCCUACCCUGCAUGUCCCUGCUGUGCUGAGCCAGUUGCUUAUCUGGAUAGUGGGCUUUUAAUGCACUUUGCCUAAUGGGGUUGUGGUGAGAAGCCAGUUACUGCUAGUCAUUUAACAAAUAUUUCAGCACCUACUGUGUGCCUAGGCACUGUUCUGGGAAUGGGGAGAUGGCAGAAUAAGCCAAUAUUCCUGCCCUCCUGGAGCAGUUACAAUGAUAGCUAUGUGGGCAGCCCCAUUCACUACCUGUCUCUCUC